GCGGGUGUAGCAUAGUGGUAAUGCUCGAGCUUCCCAAGCUUGCGAUGAGGGUUCGAUUCCCUUCACCCGCU
rnacentral:tRNA from 1 species